UGUAUGGUAUCACAGAUAUGCUUUAUAUACUUAGCAAACUAGAAGAUGAGUGAAGACUCUGAAGGACACUAAAGGUUGUGUAUAUUUCAAUAUAAUAAGUAGGCCCUGCACAUUAACGAAUUUCAAUAUCAAUAAAAGGCCUUUAAUGUUGGCAAAUUUAUCAAUAGUAGGCCCUUGACGUUGGCAUAUUUCAAUAUCAAUAGUAGGCCCUUGACGUUGGCAUAUAUCA